GAUGAAGAACGUAGCGAACGUGCGAAACGUAAUGUGAAUUGCAGAAUUCAGUGAAUCAUCGAAUCUUUGAACGCAUCUUGCGCUCCUUGGUAUUCCGAGGAGCAUGCCUGUUUGAGUGUCGUGAAUACUCUCAACUUCAACCCUUUUUUCGGAAAGGGAGGAAGGUUGGACUUGGGUGUUUGUUGAAGUGCGAGCUUCGACUCAUCCUAAAUGCAUUAGCGAUCUGCCUCGAUCACACACAAUGUGAUAAUUAAAACUAAAGCAUUGUUUAAUGAUCAAGUCGAGACUGCUUCUAACUGUCGCAAGACAAUAACGUGCAUACAUUUGUGCAUGUCAUUUGACCUCAAAUCAGGUAGGACUACCCGCUGAACUUAAGCAUAUCAAUAAGCGGAGG
rnacentral:misc_RNA from 1 species